AUUCAGUUGACGAGUCUCGAAUAGGAUGAAAUGCGUGUCCUGGAU
rfam:Schistosoma curassoni strain Dakar, Senegal genome assembly, scaffold: SCTD_scaffold0005667